rfam:Megasphaera elsdenii strain DSM 20460 draft genome
UGGACGGAAUCUUUUGGAUCCGUACCGUAUAAAAUCCGGGUCAUCAAUCUAUCAUAAUUUUAUAGCAUAUCGCUUGGAUCGAAAGACCGGGACGAAUUC